GAACUGCGAUACGUAGUGUGAAUUGCAGAAUUCCGUGAACCAUCGAAUCUUUGAACGCAAAUUGCGCCUGAGGCUUCGGCCGAAGGCAUGUCUGCCUCAGCGUCGGCACACCCCCUCGCUACCCAACCUUGGUGCGUGCUGCGCAACGCCCGUUGUGCGGUCCACCGAGCGGUGGCGGAGCUGGCUCUCUCACCGUGUGCGUGUUUAUUCACCUCCCGGUGGGUUUGCUGAAGCGAAGAGGUUUGAGCAGCGACCCCGUUUGAGGGCGACGGCUUGGUAGGUCCUUUGGGCUUUCAUUCCACUGCCGGCGUCCGAGGGGCUCCUGCUGGAGACCCACUCUUCUCCUCUUUCUUCGGUUUUUCCGGAGGGAGAGGGAACCUUUCAUUUUCGACCUGAGCUC
rnacentral:misc_RNA from 1 species